rnacentral:rRNA from 1 species
UACGGAGGGUGCAAGCGUUGUCCGGAUUUAUUGGGCGUAAAGAGCGUGUAGGUGGCCAGUUAGGUCCGCUGUGAAAACUCGAGGCUCAACCUCGAGAUGUCGGCUGAAACCAUCUGGCUAGAGUCCGGAAGAGGAGAAUGGAAUUCCCGGUGUAGCGGUGAAAUGCGCUGAUAUCGGGAAGAACACCCGUGGCGAAGGCGGUUCUCUGGGACGGUACUGACGCUGAGACGCGAAAGCGUGGGGAGCGAACAGG